AAGAAGAUGACCUUGGCACUGGAGGUUAGAUUUUUUUCCAAAACCUAAAGAGAAAUUUUGUGUGUAUUAGCCCUUGUAUUAAUUCAAAUAGAAAUCUGAUUAAUAGAUGGUUUGUUCCUUUUCGUUAGUCUGAACAGAACGGUAUGUCUGGAUUUAUUAGUCUUCCUGAAUGCUUGUUUUAGUCUUUGCCUUACAAAUAAUUUUUUACUAUUUCACAUUUAAUAGCCUGAAAGGUAUAUUUUUGUCUUGGGGAGAUGAAUAACAGCCUUUAAACCAGAUACGCUGGUUUCCGUGAGAAGCCGUAACCAGCCUGCAAUAAUGAAAGGAGGAGGGACUAAAAGAACUCAUGAAGAGAUGAAACUCAUUGAAAUUAUACAGCAUACAGAGGUACCUUACAAGAUAGCCUCUGAUUUGAGAGCAGAAAAAGAUUACUGUCCUAUUUUGCGAAUAAAAUUGAAGGAAUCCAUACUAGAAUACGUAGGCAAUGCAGCAGCAAUAGCUACAAACAUCUAA
rnacentral:lncRNA from 1 species